CAAAAAUAAUGUUUAAUGUAAUAAAUAUUGUUUUGCUAUAAUUUAAAUUAAGGUCAAGCUUGGAGGCAUAAGAUUUUUUGAUUGUGCGUUAGCAAUACAGCGACAGAUAGCGGAGGACGUGAAAAAAAUGUAUUUGAAUAAUAUUACCCCCAGUAAUUACUGUUUUUCGAAUACUACCGCUGCAGUUUCCCGUCAUGUUUACUUGGCUGAUUUUAUUCACGAAUCGAAAAAUUAUUGACAAUGCGAAGACGCGUUGCAAGACGUAUACACAUCAUUAAUACGACUGCAUUAGGGUUUCGUCAAAAGCAAGCCGAAACAAUGUUAUAAAAUAUCAUAAUGUACCUACGAAAUGUUGUAGGUUGUAACGGAAUUCUACAAAACCCAAUGAAAAUCAAUCUGUUUUAAGCAUAUCUUAGUUUUCAGUAGGUAGAUUAUGUCUUUAUUAGCCUGAUAAAAUAAAUCCGUUUUAGUAAUAAUGUUAAAUAA